UACGUAGGGUGCAAGCGUUGUCCGGAAUUAUUGGGCGUAAAGAGCUCGUAGGCGGUCUGUCGCGUCGGCUGUGAAAUCCCAGGGCUCAACCCUGGGCCUGCAGUCGAUACGGGCAGACUAGAGUCCGGCAGGGGAGACUGGAAUUCCUGGUGUAGCGGUGAAAUGCGCAGAUAUCAGGAGGAACACCGGUGGCGAAGGCGGGUCUCUGGGCCAGAACUGACGCUGAGGAGCGAAAGCGUGGGGAGCGAACAGG
rnacentral:rRNA from 1 species